AUUGAACGCUGGCGGCAGGCUUAACACAUGCAAGUCGAGCGGGGUGAUGGUGCUUGCACUAUCACUUAGCGGCGGACGGGUGAGUAAUGCUUAGGAAUCUGCCUAUUAGUGGGGGACAACAUCUCGAAAGGGAUGCUAAUACCGCAUACGUCCUACGGGAGAAAGCAGGGGAUCACUUGUGACCUUGCGCUAAUAGAUGAGCCUAAGUCGGAUUAGCUAGUUGGUGGGGUAAAGGCCUACCAAGGCGACGAUCUGUAGCGGGUCUGAGAGGAUGAUCCGCCACACUGGGACUGAGACACGGCCCGGACUCCUACGGGAGGAAGCAGUGUGGAAUAUUGGACAAUGGGGGGAACCCUGAUCCAGCCAUGCCGCGUGUGUGAAGAAAGCCUUAUGGUUGUAAAGCACUUUAAGCGAGGAGGAGGCUCUUUUGGUUAAUACCCAAGAUGAGUGGACGUUACUCGCAGAAUAAGCACCGGCUAACUCUGUGCCAGCCGCCGCAGUAA
rnacentral:rRNA from 1 species